CGCGAGCUCACAGCCGGCUGCCCUUCCUGUUAGGGUAGUCGGAUCUUUUCCGGUUGAGGAUCCUUUUCGCUGGUCGAGGUCUAAGAAUCAGACCUUCUUGGAGAGGUCACAACUGAGGAUUAUUCAAUGGGAGGAACGAUGCUAUGGUACCUUGCAGACAGAACUUGCUGAACCUCCAACCUCUGAAAAUUGCUGGAACUUUCCAGAAGCCCACCAUCUGGAAUCAGCCCUCUGCAGUGCCUAAGAAAGAUGUUCAUAGAUGAUGACGUUUGGUGUGUGAAGUUCUUGGGUCCCUCUGAGACAGAAUUCAGCAGAUGUUCCCAUUUCUCAGCACACGGAAAAUUUACUGAGUAAAGGGAAAAAAAGCAAAGAGAGACAGCUGCAUAGACACGGGCAGGUAGUGACCUGCCCAUAUAAUGUUUGCCCUUGAUGGAAGAAUGUAACACAACUUAUGAAAUAUUCUUGCCUUUUCUGAAAUAAACCUGA